rnacentral:lncRNA from 1 species
GUAAAUGCUGUAAUGACUUAAAGGCAGGUGGCUGUUGUCAGCUGAGCAGGAUGAUCCUGAACAGAGGUGUCCUUUGCGGCAGGACGUGGCUCCUCAACCUGGGCUCUGCCAUUCCACAGACCAUCCUGACUGCAGCAUAGCUCUUGCUGCAGCUCCAUCAUGUUUUGUCAAGUUCAGUGAGGCUAUCUGGACCGAGUCUUUUGGCUUGAGGUCUGUGACAUGGUGAGGUAAAAGAAGGGCUGCAUUUACCAGAGUGCCAGAGCAGAGGAACACCCGCUACAUGCAGUGGUUGGAGACCUUGAGUGGGAGGUGGUGAAUUAUUGUUUCUGCUGGAGAGAGUUUUUAACCACAUGCCUUCCCCUUCGGGCUAUUGCUCAAACCACUGUAUUUUUGAAUUUUGCUCCUCAACAUUUGUAAUUGCUUAGGGCAUACUGAUGCAGAUCUGAGCUUAUUAGCACCUCUGUUAAAGACAUCCAUCUUUACUUAAAGUAAUAAUAAAAUAUAAGAGUCUGGUGCUCCUGUGUUUUCA